rnacentral:rRNA from 1 species
GCUCAGGACGAACGCUGGCGGCGUGCCUAAUACAUGCAAGUAGAACGCUGAAGACUUUAGCUUGCUAAAGUUGGAAGAGUUGCGAACGGGUGAGUAACGCGUAGGUAACCUGCCUACUAGCGGGGGAUAACUAUUGGAAACGAUAGCUAAUACCGCAUAACAGCAUUUAACCCAUGUUAGAUGCUUGAAAGGAGCAAUUGCUUCACUAGUAGAUGGACCUGCGUUGUAUUAGCUAGUUGGUGAGGUAACGGCUCACCAAGGCGACGAUACAUAGCCGACCUGAGAGGGUGAUCGGCCACGCUGGGACUGAGACACGGCCCAGACUCCUACGGGAGGCAGCAGUA